UGUCCCAUGUUGCACUAUCCAAUAUGAUAGUCACUAGGCACAUGGGCUGUUGAACAAUAGAAAUAUGGCUAAUGUAAUUGAGAAACUGAAAAUGUAAUUUACAUGUACAUUUAAGAUGAAAUAGCCAGACAUGGCUACUAUUAUAAUGGACAACACAUUUUUACAAAUUAUGAGUUGACUUUAUUAUACCAGCCUCUAUCUCAUACUUCCUUAUUAUCUUCAAAACACAAUCGAUCAGGAACAAAAACGUAAUCUCAAGCUUCUAGAAAUUUGGCACACUCACCAAAGAACUGAAUACUCCUUUGCAGUCAGACCAUGUGUUCCAGACAACAUAACUAGAAAGAUGUGAGAAGGCACUUCAUGUGGGAGAUAAGCCUUGUUUUACUUAAUCCACUGAGAUGUCAGAGUUAAUUGUUACAGCAGCAGCCUGUUGUAUAGGCUGACUAACACAUGGUAACUAACAGAACACUUUGGAUUCUUGACAAAAUAAGAGCAAGAAAGCAGCAGCAGAAGCAGAAAUCAGAGGGGCGAGAAACCAAAAGCAACAGAGCAAGAUCUACUCUCUACACAUCGACAUCCUGCUCUCUUCCAGGGAGAGUAACCUACAUGAACCAUACCAGUGGUUCCCAUCCAGGACAGUUCCCACUCACCUCCCCAUGGACAUUUGGAAAUAUCUAGAGACAUUUUUGCAUAUCACAAAAUGCAAAAAAAAAAAAAAUGUACCCUGGAUGACUGAGAGAAUGUGACAAAGAAGAUAAUGAAACAGGAUGGAUAUCCAUGCACAUCCAUCUUGAAGCAACUUUUCAAAGACAAUGGAAGCCCUAACAUCCCUUUGAUGAAACGAAGCUACACAGAAACACAGCAAGUAACAUAUGACUGGGUACAAAUGGUAAAAUUAAAGGCAAACAUUGUUGAUGAGCUCACUAGAGCUUGAAGUAUGGAAGCACAAUAUUAGCCUUGGAGGAA
rnacentral:lncRNA from 10 species